AUUUAUGCGAAGGUCUUGCUUCAUAAAUGAAAAAUCAAAGAUUUGCAGCCACUGUUAGAAGAAGUGUCUUUUCACAUGAUUUUACUACAUCCAACGUAGCUACAUGGCUACAUGAGAGGCAAGGAAGUGAAAUAUCAUUUAUGCGAAGGUCUUGCUUUAUAAAUGAAAAAUCAAAGAUUUGCACCCCCGUCAAAAGAAGUGUUUUUAUAUGAUUUCACUACAUCCAACAUAGCUACAUGGCUACUAGGAGGCAUUGACUACGAUGUAGUCAAACGACUGUGAUAUACAACAGCAUAUAGGUUAACUAUAGGAUUAUUUUUGUGAUAAUUCUUGUGAUGAUUAUUGUAAUACAUAUUUUGUAAUAAGUACGAAGCAUGGCAUCUCUAUUAAUAGGUACAUGGAAAUAUCGGUGUAAAUAUCCAGAAUGCACAAAUGCAUAUUACACUAACAUAGUAAAUAAUUUUUAUUGAAACAAGUAUUUUUAUACAUUUCCUAAAAAAAUUGAAUUUAAAAAUGAAUGGAAGAGAAUUUGUAAGAUUAGCGAACAUGUCAAAUGUGAUAAUUUUCGAAUCUGCGAAGAACAUUUUGAAUCUAAACAUUUUGCAAAUAGGUCAAAGCAUAAAUUGAAUUGGAAUGCAAUUCCUCUGGAAAAAUGCCAUAAAUUGUACACCUUUAAAUACACAGUCUGAAAUACCUUCAACUAAUGAACAUGAAAAUAUUCGAUGCAGGACUCCUUUAUAUAAUAGUAGUAAUUUAACUCUUGAUUCUGAUUCUGACUUUGCUUUUUCUUUAGGUACACAAAAUAUAGACACAACUGAAAAUCAUGAAAAUGAUAUAGAAGUGCUUGCUUCAGAUAAAAAUGUACAAUUUUUAGUCGAAGAUGAGAUGCAUAAUAAAACAAAGGGAUAUUUGAAAGGCAUUAGCUUAUCACAAAAACAACUGUCCACCAAGGAAACAAAAAAUGUAUAAAAUACAUCGUUACACAAUUACCAAAUUAUCUAAAUUAAGAAAACUUCUAAAAAAUGAAAGACAACAUGUCGCAAUUUUGAAAGAUUUAUAUGAUAGGAAAAAAUUUCAAUUAAUUGAUGAUUCUUUAAACGUAGUAACAAAAAAUUUUAUUCAGUCUCAACUUAGAAAUGUUAAUAAAAAGCACAAUGGAAGACGAUGGACAGUUGAGGAUAACACUUUUGCACUUUUAAUUUAUAAACGCAGUCCUCGCUUAUAUAAAUAUUUAGCUUCUUAUUUUCAAUUGCCUUCUACUAGAUUGUUGAAACAUAUGCUUUCAAAGAUUCCUUUUGAGACUGGUUUAAAUGAUGCAAUUCUAGAAAAUUUAAGAGCAAGAAUACAGAAAAUGCAUCCAUUAGACCAUUGUUGUGCAUUAAUAUUUGAUGAGAUGUCGUUAAGUAAUGGGUUUCAUUACGAAACCAGCAAACAGAAGAUUUCUGGAUUUGAAGAUUUAGGACACUUAGGUCGUACAAUUAAAUCAGCAAACCACGCAUUAGUUCUAAUGCUGAGAGACAUUCAUAAAUCUUGGAAACAAGUUAUAGCCUAUUACUUUGUAGCAAAUACAAUUUCCACUAUGGCUUUGAAAGAUAUAAUUAUUACAGUAAUUUCACGUUUACAAAAAAAAGGAUUUAAUGUAAUGUCAACGAUUUGUGAUCAAAGUGCUACAAACCGAGGGGCA
rnacentral:lncRNA from 13 species